UACGAAGGGGGCUAGCGUUGUUCGGAAUUACUGGGCGUAAAGGGCGCGUAGGCGGCGUGUCAAGUCAGGCGUGAAAGCCCCGGGCUCAACCUGGGAACCGCGCUUGAGACUGGCAUGCUCGAGUUCGGGAGAGGAUGGUGGAAUUCCCAGUGUAGAGGUGAAAUUCGUAGAUAUUGGGAAGAACACCGAUGGCGAAGGCAGCCAUCUGGACCGACACUGACGCUGAGGCGCGAAAGCGUGGGAGCAAACAGG
rnacentral:rRNA from 1 species